AGUAACGGAUUACUUUGUGGUGUAGCGUAACGGUAAUUGUCCUCCUCAUAUUUGCGGCAGCGUAGUCUGCCGCUUUUUUUU
rnacentral:sRNA from 2 species